rnacentral:misc_RNA from 1 species
GAAUUGAAAACUUGCUGGUUGAGUUUGUAUUGACUUGGGAAUUGAAAAAUUUAUAAAUGUGCUCAAGUAACUAUGUUGUGUUCAUGUCGGUGAUAUAACUACUUUAAAUCUUUAUUGGCAUGUUUUAUGUACACUUAGACUGAACUAAAUUACUAGAACUAUACGACUUGUGACUCAGAAAGAUGGUUUGGUUAGAUGUAACAAUUUGAUCUGAGUCAAUAUUUACUGAUAAAAGUUAUAUAAUUAUGCGUUCUAGAAUGGAUCAGAUGAAGCAAGUUUGAGUGAGCAUGUCUUGUUUAACAGUCCUAAUUGUUAUCCUUGCAGGUAGUCCGAGCUUUGGA